rnacentral:rRNA from 1 species
GACGAACGCUGGCGGCGUGCUUAACACAUGCAAGUCGAACGAAGUGGCGAACGGGUGAGUAACGCGUAAUCAACCUGCCCUUCAGAGGGGGACAACAGUUGGAAACGACUGCUAAUACCGCAUACUGAAGGAGGGGAUUGCGUCUGAUUAGCUAGUUGGAGGGGUAACGGCCCACCAAGGCGAUGAUCAGUAGCCGUGCUGAGAGGAUGAAGGGGCAUAUUGGGACUGCGCUACUGCCCAGAUUGCUACGGUAGGCAUGAGUGGGGAAUGUUCCGCAAUGUACGAAAUGCUGACGGAGCAACGCCGCGUGAGUGAUGACGGCUUUCGGUGUGUAAAGCUCUGUUAAUCGGGACGCGGUACCGGAAUAGAUCGCCACGGCUAACUACGUGCCAGCAGCCGCGGUAAUUC